GGCAGCAGUGGGGAAUAUUGCGCAAUGGACGAAAGUCUGACGCAGCGACGCCGCGUGGGUGAUGAAGGCCUUCGGGUCGUAAAGCCCUGUUGAGGGAGAGAAAGCUACUGUCGGUUAAUACCCGGCAGUGGUGAUAGUAUCCCUAGAGAAAGCACCGGCUAACUACGUGCCAGCAGCCGCGGUAAUACGUAGGGUGCAAGCGUUGCUCGGAAUUACUGGGCGUAAAGGGAGCGCAGGCGGUUUUGUAUGUCGUAGGUGAAAUACUCCGGCUUAACUGGAGAAACGCCUGCGAAACUGCAAGACUAGAGGACAGGAGAGGUGGACGGAAUUCCCGGUGUAGCGGUGAAAUGCGUAGAUAUCGGGAGGAACGCCGAAGGCGAAGGCAAUCCACUGGACUGUUCCUGACGCUCAUGCUCGAAAGCUAGGGGAUCAAACGGGAUUAGAUACCCCGGUAGUCCUAGCCGUAAACUAUGGGUACUAGGUAUGGCGGCGUCUGCUUGCCGUGCCGAAGCUAACGC
rnacentral:rRNA from 1 species